rnacentral:rRNA from 1 species
UACGGAGGGUGCAAGCGUUGUUCGGAAUUAUUGGGCGUAAAGAGCGUGUAGGCGGUCGGGUAAGUCAGAUGUGAAAUCCCUUGGCUUAACCAAGGAAGUGCAUUUGAAACUGCCCGGCUUGAGUACGGGAGGGGGAAGUGGAAUUCCCGGUGUAGAGGUGAAAUUCGUAGAUAUCGGGAGGAACACCGGUGGCGAAGGCGGCUUCCUGGACCGAUACUGACGCUGAGACGCGAAAGCGUGGGGAGCAAACAGG